AGCGAACGCUGGCGGCAGGCCUAACACAUGCAAGUCGAACGAACCUUUCGGGGUUAGUGGCGGACGGGUGAGUAACACGUGGGAACGUGCCUUUAGGUUCGGAAUAACUCAGGGAAACUUGUGCUAAUACCGAAUGUGCCCUUCGGGGGAAAGAUUUAUCGCCUUUAGAGCGGCCCGCGUCUGAUUAGCUAGUUGGUUGAUGUAAUGGCUCACCAAGGCGACGAUCAGUAGCUGGUCUGAGAGGAUGAUCAGCCACAUUGGGACUGAGACACGGCCCAAACUCCUACGGGAGGCAGCAGUGGGGAAUCUUGCGCAAUGGGCGAAAGCCUGACGCAGCCAUGCCGCGUGAAUGAUGAAGGUCUUAGGAUUGUAAAAUUCUUUCACCGGGGACGAUAAUGACGGUACCCGGAGAAGAAGCCCCGGCUAACUUCGUG
rnacentral:rRNA from 1 species